rnacentral:rRNA from 1 species
GGGGGACAGGGUGACAGGUGGUGCAUGGUUGUCGUCAGCUCGUGUCGUGAGAUGUUGGGUUAAGUCCCGCAACGAGCGCAACCCUCGCCCCUAGUUGCCAGCAUUCAGUUGGGCACUCUAGGGGGACUGCCGGUGACAAACCGGAGGAAGGUGGGGAUGACGUCAAAUCAUCAUGCCCCUUAUGACCUGGGCUACACACGUGCUACAAUGGGCGGUACAAAGGGCUGCGAACCCGCGAGGGGGAGCCAAUCCCAAAAAGCCGCUCUCAGUUCGGAUUGCAGGCUGCAACUCGCCUGCAUGAAGCCGGAAUCGCUAGUAAUCGCGGAUCAGCAUGCCGCGGUGAAUACGUUCCCGGGCCUUGUACACACCGCCCGUCACACCACGAGAGCUUGCAACACCCGAAGUCGGUGAGGUAACCCGCAAGGGAGCCAGCCGCCGAAGGUGGGGCAAGUGAUUGGGGUGAAGUCGUAACAAGGUAGCCGUACCGGAAGGUGCGGCUGGAUCACCUCCU